UNCAGANAUGUGCUCCCCGCANGGUCNGUGUACAGGUGGUGCAUGGUUGUCGUCAGCUCGUGUCGUGAGAUGUUGGGUUAAGUCCCGCAACGAGCGCAACCCUCGUCCCAUGUUGCCAGCGGGUUAUGCCGGGGACUCAUGGGAGACUGCCGGGGUCAACUCGGAGGAAGGUGGGGAUGACGUCAAAUCAUCAUGCCCCUUAUGUCUUGGGCUUCACGCAUGCUACAAUGGCCGGUACAAAGGGCUGCGAUACCGCGAGGUGGAGCGAAUCCCAAAAAGCCGGUCUCAGUUCGGAUUGGGGUCUGCAACUCGACCCCAUGAAGUCGGAGUCGCUAGUAAUCGCAGAUCAGCAACGCUGCGGUGAAUACGUUCCCGGGCCUUGUACACACCGAAGGGCGAA
rnacentral:rRNA from 1 species